rnacentral:misc_RNA from 1 species
CAAUAACACACAAAAAACACAAAAUUCUGAACUCAAAAGCAAAUCAAGAGGUUAACGUCCUUUGCCAGGUAAAUUAGCCCAGUUCAUAAAUUUUACAAGCCAACUGUCAGAAAACUCAUAAGAUAACUGAAUUCAAACCAUAAAAGAAGGAAACUCAAUUCUCCAAAACCCCAAACAAAGCCUAAUCAGCAGCGGACAUAAUUUGUUUGGUACAAUACCUGAAAGAGACAUUGG